rnacentral:tRNA from 2 species
AAGAAAGAAUGCAAGAACUGCUAAUUCCUGCCACCGAACUUAACCAUUCGGCUUUCUUA